AAAGACGGAUACGCAAUCGCUCUGUAUUUGUUGCAGAGAGGAAAGUCCGAACUUUAACUGCGAUGAAGAAUUAGUUUCGUUGCCGUAAAACGGUAGCAGGUAAUUCCUGUCACUUGUGAAAGUAGAGGUGCGAACAGAGACGCUUUUUCCAGAAAUGGAAACGGUAUCCUUGUAAGAGGAUAAGGUUUUGCAGUAAUGCAAAAAGUGAAACGGCUAAAUCCUUACUGGAAAGCAAGGCCUUUGUAUGGCCGCUUGACUGUUAAAAGUGAUUUUAACAGCAGAGAAAUGAUUGCGUUUUUGGGUAUUUAUCUAAAAGACAGAAUUCGGUGUACAAUCCGUCUUUAUGA
rnacentral:RNase_P_RNA from 1 species